UCUCUUUGUUUGUAGGCCUGACCAUUUGUCCCUUUUGCCGCAGACGGUCAACAAUCCGCUAGCUGUCUUGCUCUGACUGGUGCACUGGACAUGAUUUCAAUGAGAGUCAUCAUACUGAUUGUUUAAUUCAAACAUGAAUUUCAGUUUGUUCGUUAGAGUACUAACUUAGCUGUGUAUUUACAGUGGACGUAGUGGUGCGUCGCAUGCGGUAGACUAGGUAUUUCCAUAUAUACACUAUGUUUACAGAAUUGCGGCCGGUGAAGCAACAUAGCUGAUGAGUAAAUAGCGCUAGUUCUUCAGACAAAUAACUUUAUUUUCAACCUAUAAAGCAUAUUUAGCUGUAGGUGGGGCCAUUUAGCUGUAAGAUCUGGCUUUGGUUCUGUUAAGCCCUUAGAGUAAUGAAUUUCAGAGUGAAGACCAUAGCGCCUUUUCCUAGUCGAGUAUCGGGCAGCUGUAUGUCUUUUCAGAAAUGCACAUGUCUUCUUUAGUAUGUCAUUGUGAUUGCUUUUAAGAUAGGCAAUAAACUCAUAACCUUUAGAAAAAGGAGCAUCUGUAAAUUCAGAUUUCACUAUUUCAGAGUCAGCCAGACCAUGAUUGAGCUUAAGGAUUGUGCUGCGGAUGCGGCCUGUGCAGUUCCGGGAGAAAGUCACUGUCUUGGGCAUUGCGGUCUGGUAUCAGGUCUGGAUGAUCCUUGCCUGACUCCGGGUUUGUGUACACCUCAAUCCGACUCCCUGUCCGGUACCAUGGCCGCAGUGGUGCAGCCCUUGUGGACGAUCCAUCGACAUCCUGAAAGGUCAACACUUCACCAAGCUGGGAAAAUUGAUCCUGAUAGUCAUCCCCAGAGUCAGCCAGACCAUGAUUGAGCUUAAGGAUUGUGCUGCGGAUGCGGCCUGUGCAGUUCCGGGAGAAAGUCACUGUCUUGGGCAUUGCGGUCUGGUAUCAGGUCUGGAUGAUCCUUGCCUGACUCCGGGUUUGUGUACACCUCAAUCCGACUCCCUGUCCGGUACCAUGGCCGCAGUGGUGCAGCCCUUGUGGACGAUCCAUCGACAUCCUGAAAGGUCAACACUUCACCAAGCUGGGAAAAUUGAUCCUGAUAGUCAUCCCCAGAGUCAGCCAGACCAUGAUUGAGCUUAAGGAUUGUGCUGCGGAUGCGGCCUGUGCAGUUCCGGGAGAAAGUCACUGUCUUGGGCAUUGCGGUCUGGUAUCAGGUCUGGAUGAUCCUUGCCUGACUCCGGGUUUGUGUACACCUCAAUCCGACUCCCUGUCCGGUACCAUGGCCGCAGUGGUGCAGCCCUUGUGGACGAUCCAUCGACAUCCUGAAAGGUCAACACUUCACCAAGCUGGGAAAAUUGAUCCUGAUAGUCAUCCCCAGGUAGUGAAAUGAAUGUACACUGAACUACAGAGGAAUCACACCCAAAUGACUUUUCUGACAUUAGUGUGGCCCCUCGGGCAGGAAUUCCUUAGCAAACAUGCUUUUUUGCAUGGGGACUGUGGCAUUUUUGCAAAACUUAAGCUUUCAACGCUGGAUUUUAAAGAGAACACUUAAUAAAAUGAAGCCAACAGGACUUAUUUUAAUGAGAGAGACUAUCUGGAUGAGCAACAAAUGUCACAUUGUGUCGUAAGCUGUUGAAGGAGCGAUUUGCGCCAUUUCAAGUGUUAAUUUUGGGUAGCAGGCUUGUAUCGGCUUGAAAGCUGCAAAUUAUUCCUCUCAUCAUGAUAGCAUUAAUUAUUUUAAUUGCAAUGUGUAUGUUUAGAUUGUAAGUGAAGCUUUUAAUAAUAAUUUUCUUGAAAAACAUGA